GCGGUGGAGCAUUGUGGUUUAAUUCGAAGCAACGCGAAGAACCUUUACCAGGUCUUGACAUCCCGAUGCUAUUUCUGGAGAUAGAAAGUUACUUCGGUACAUCGGUGACAGGUGGUGCAUGGUUGUCGUCAGCUCGUGUCGUGAGAUGUUGGGUUAAGUCCCGCAACGAGCGCAACCCCUAUUGUUAGUUGCCAUCAUUCAGUUGGGCACUCUAGCGAGACUGCCGGUAAUAAACCGGAGGAAGUGGGAUGACGUCAAUCAUCAUGCCCCUUAUGACCUGGGCUACACACGUGCUACAAUGGUUGGUACAACGAGUUGCGAGUCGGUGACGGCGAGCUAAUCUCUUAAAGCCAAUCUCAGUUCGGAUUGUAGGCUGCAACUCGCCUACAUGAAGUCGGAAUCGCUAGUAAUCGCGGAUCAGCACGCCGCGGUGAAUACGUUCCCGGGCCUU
rnacentral:rRNA from 1 species